rnacentral:lncRNA from 1 species
CCUGUAGGUAAAACAAGCUACUACCACUAUUGAUUUUAUGAAAUGUCUAAUACUUGUCCUAGUUCUGCCUUUUUUUAUGUGGUGAGUGUAUAUUUGCAAGCAGACUCCUAUUAAAUCUUCUUUUUUUAAUCUUCCCCAGACUUCUGAGUUCCCUGGAGGCAUUGGAGCAUAAGAGGAUCUCCUGCGAAUGCCCCAUGGGUGAGAUCCAUGGUGGAAGCUGGUUGUGCAUCUGCAGGUCCCUUCUUCUCAACUCCUCACUCUCGAGUUGUCCGUGUUAAUGAAGUGGCUCAGAGAAAACAAAGACUAGAAGACAGAACAAACAUAUGGGACAACAACAUAGAUGACACAUUUGCUGGUGGAAGGUAAGGCCAGCUCACUAAAGAGCAAGAUUGAUGAGGUCCACUUUUCCUUGACCUUCAUUCCUUCACAGUGAUGUAGCUCACCUCACUGGAGAACAGCAUAAAGGUCACUAGCUUGGCAAAGAGAAGAAUGAAUUCGAAUUUGACCUAUCCAGUUCUCUGCAUAUGGUUGAGAAACCAACUCAAAGUCAGAUAUGUAGGUCAACAUAAGCCAUAGCCUCCUGUCACCUCUACUGAGUGGAGAUAAUGCGACCAUCUUCCAAGUGACAGCACAGAGUACCUAGGGAGUCAAGGCAAAGUUCUCAAUUUACACUGCCCUAAAACUCACUGCAUCCUGUUGGUAAAAUCCUGGCAGAAAAGCAAGGACAUACACUGAACUCAAGGGUAUGAAACAACAAAUCUCAACCCGUGAAAUUAUUCAACUGAAUCUUAUCUGAGGACAGGAAAUAUAACUAGGAACUGUACUUACACAAAAAAGACACUCCUGUAGAAUUAAAAUCCAAUGACAAAAUGUCUGCUGGAGAGAUAACAUCAAGCAAAAUGACCCUACAGUUUGGAUUGGGAAAAUAACCCAAAGCAUAGUAGAGAUAAAUUAAAAAGAACAAAGAAAAUGUACAUAAAAGCCAGAAGUAGUGAAUGGAAGGCAAAGCAUCAACAACAUCAGUAAUGGAUGAGUCUGUUUAAUCAUCAUGAGUGAAACUGUCAGAAAUAAAAGAAAAAGGAUUUUGAGAUGUUUUCAGAUCUCAGAGAUCCAGAGAAACAAAACUGGAAAUAUUUGUAGAAAAACUAAAUAAAAUAACUGUCAGUAUGGUGUAUAUGUCUACAUAUUUAAUAUCUAUGUAUGCAGAGCCUCAAGUUGGACAGACCAUGCCUUCCUGUUCAGAACCCACAGAGCAUUUGAAAAUCAUGUCUUUACAGUGAGUCACAAAACUAACUAGCAAUAGACUAG